UAGUCUACGGUACGUUGAAAACACCAGUUCUCGUUCGAUACUGAAGUUAAGCAACGUCGGGCCUGAUCAGUACUUGGGAGGGAGACUACUUAGGUGCUGUAGGCC